AUAAUUCUUCAACAUUCUCGGAAUUCCUGUCCCUUGUCAAAGGCAAUUGUUGCAAGAAACUUUGUGAACCCUUUUCUGAGUUUUUAUAGGUUCCCUCUAAUAAUUUGUCACCUCUAGGGUUCUGGAACAGAACUUGGUUUGCAAGCAUUGAGUCCCUACAUAACUCCUAAGGACCCCACACCUUCUGGAUCAGUACUUUUGUCUCCCAUGGAUGCAGGGCUAUCUUCUCUGCUUCUUGGGAAUAAUCUAGAGUGCUUCAACUAGAACAGCAUUUCUCAACUGAGUAAGGGGAAUGAUUCCUUCCCCAAGGAACAUCUGGCUAUGUCUGAAGACAUUUUUGGUUUUCAUAUCCAAGGGGUGUGCUACUGGUAUCUAAAAGUUAGAGCUCAGGAUGCUGCUAAAAUCCUACAAUAUGCAGGACAGCUGUGAACCUCAAAGAAUUAUCUGACCCCAAACGUCAACAGUGCCAAGGUUGGGAAACCUUGAUUUGUAUGGACAUGCAACCCCACAAGGUGGGAUCCCUGGGUCAUCAUCUGUUCAAUGCCCUGGAGUUGCUGAGAAGAUGGUGAACCACCUGGAUUAGGAGGCUCUAAGACCAGACCACAGAGUUCAGCACCUAAGUUGGAGUGGGGAAAGAGGGAGAGAGCUGAGGUUCUAUGUGCAGGAAAUGGAACUGACAGAAUUUAUGUGCAUAAUUGCAAAGGCAACCUCUGAUUAAUCUGCAGCAGUUCACCAUGAUUAACUAUGCCUUCAGGACCUGGCUCAGUCUGCAACCUCCUAAGAGACGAAUUUUGACUUAGACAGAUUGGUGUGUUGAGCUGGCACUGAGGAAGUGUGAUUGACAAGCUAAGGAGGAGCAGCACAGGGACAAGAAUAGCCAGGUAGAUACUGGUUUGCUUCCCAGAUCUGCCACUCUCUGACUGCCU
rnacentral:lncRNA from 1 species